UUGCUCUUGCCACGUGCUGGUGUUGGAGGACCCUCCCUGCUUCAGAUUUACCAAUAGCAUGAAUCAAGAAAAGUUAGCCAAACUUCAGGCUCAGGUCAGGAUAGGGGGCAAGGGUACAGCUCGCAGAAAGAAGAAGGUGGUACAUAGAACAGCUACAGCUGAUGAAAAGAAGCUUCAGAGUUCUCUUAAAAAACUGGCUGUGAAUAAUAUAGCUGGUAUUGAAGAGGUGAACAUGAUUAAAGAUGAUGGGACAGUUACUCAUUUCAACAAUCCCAAAGUCCAGGCUUCCCUGUCUGCUAACACCUUUGCAAUUACCGGUCAUGCAGAAGCUAAACCAAUCACAGAAAUGCUUCCCGGAAUAUUAAGUCAGCUGGGUGCUGACAGCUUAACAAGCCUUAGAAAGUUAGCUGAACAGUUCCCACGGCAAGUCUUGGAUAGCAAAGCAUCAAAACCAGAGGACAUUGAUGAGGAGGAUGAUGACAUUCCAGAUCUUGUAGAAAAUUUUGAUGAGGCAUCAAAGAAUGAAGCUAACUAAAAUUUUUUUCUGGUUUUUUGGAAGCUGGCAUGGACUAGAUUUAACAAAUCAGCUAUGUGGUUCCAAAGUUUCACAGACACAGAGAACAUCACCUGUUACUAGUUCAGUAAUAUAAAUAUUUUGUA